AUGUACUUGAUAAUUCACUCGGAUUCCCCUUCAAGACAUCUUGGGUGAUGCAAAAACCGAGUCUCUGAUGCU